rnacentral:rRNA from 1 species
AGUGAACGCUGGCGGUAGGCCUAACACAUGCAAGUCGAACGGCAGCACAGAGGAGCUUGCUCCUUGGGUGGCGAGUGGCGGACGGGUGAGGAAUACAUCGGAAUCUACUCUGUCGUGGGGGAUAACGUAGGGAAACUUACGCUAAUACCGCAUACGACCUACGGGUGAAAGCAGGGGACCUUCGGGCCUUUCGCGAUUGAAUGAGCCGAUGUCGGAUUAGCUGGUUGGCGGGGUAAAGGCCCACCAAGGCGACGAUCCGGAGCUGGUCUGAGAGGAUGAUCAGCCACACUGGAACUGAGACACGGUCCAGACUCCUACGGGAGGCAGCAGUGGGGAAUAUUGGACAAUGGGCGCAAGCCUGAUCCAGCCAUACCGCGUGGGUGAAGAAGGCCUUCGGGUUGUAAAGCCCUUUUGUUGGGAAAGAAAUCCAGCUGGCUAAUACCCGGUUGGGAUGACGGUACCCAAAGAAUAAGCACCGGCUAACUUCGUGCCAGCAGCCGCCGUAA